UCCGGCUUAUCACCGGCAGUUUCUUUAGAGUGCUCAACUAAAUGGUAGCAACUAAAGACGGGGGUUGCGCUCGUUGCGGGACUUAACCCAACAUCUCACGACACGAGCUGACGACAGCCAUGCAGCACCUGUCUCCGGUCCAGCCGAACUGAAGAACUCCGUCUCUGGAGUCCGCGACCGGGAUGUCAAGGGCUGGUAAGGUUCUGCGCGUUGCGUCGAAUUAAACCACAUGCUCCACCGCUUGUGCGGGCCCCCGUCAAUUCCUUUGAGUUUCACCCUUGCGAGCGUACUCCCCAGGCGGAUAACUUAAUGCGUUAGCUGCGCCACCAAAAGCCCAUGGCCCCUGACAGCUAGUUAUCAUCGUUUACGGCGUGGACUAC
rnacentral:misc_RNA from 1 species